rnacentral:misc_RNA from 1 species
CCAAACUUGGUCAUUUAGAGGAAGUAAAAGUCGUAACAAGGUCUCCGUAGGUGAACCUGCGGAGGGAUCAUUAUCGAAUGGUCGUCUCGACCUUCAAACCCUCAAACCUGUGGAAACAAAUUGUGUUUCGGCGCCUCGGCGUCGCUUUUAUGCUGAAAACAUAAGCUUUGUCUGAACAAAAGUGAAAAAUCAAAAACUUUCAACAAAGGAUCUCUUGGCUCUCUAGAGGAAGUAAAAGUCGUAACAAGGUCUCCGUAGGUGAACCUGCGGAGGGAUCAUUAUCGAAUGGUCGUCUCGACCUUCAAACCCUCAAACCUGUGGAAACAAAUUGUGUUUCGGCGCCUCGGCGUCGCUUUUAUGCUGAAAACAUAAGCUUUGUCUGAACAAAAGUGAAAAAUCAAAAACUUUCAACAAAGGAUCUCUUGGCUCUCGCAUCGAUGAAGAACGCAGC